AGAACGAACGCUGGCGGCAUGCCUAAUACAUGCAAGUCGAACGAACACUUCGGUGUUAGUGGCGCACGGGUGCGUAACGCGUGGGAAUCUGCCCUUGGGUUCGGAAUAACAGUUGGAAACGACUGCUAAUACCGGAUGAUAUCGAAAGAUCAAAGAUUUAUCGCCCAGGGAUGAGCCCGCGUAGGAUUAGCUAGUUGGUGAGGUAAAGGCUCACCAAGGCGACGAUCCUUAGCUGGUCUGAGAGGAUGAUCAGCCACACUGGGACUGAGACACGGCCCAGACUCCUACGGGAGGCAGCAGUAGGGAAUAUUGGACAAUGGGCGCAAGCCUGAUCCAGCAAUGCCGCGUGAGUGAUGAAGGCCUUAGGGUUGUAAAGCUCUUUUACCCGAGAUGAUAAUGACAGUAUCGGAGAAUAAGCCCCGCUAACUCCGUGCCUAGCAGCCGC
rnacentral:rRNA from 1 species